CCUACGGGAGGCAGCAGUGAGGAAUAUUGGUCAAUGGACGAGAGUCUGAACCAGCCAAGUAGCGUGAAGGAUGACUGCCCUAUGGGUUGUAAACUUCUUUUAUAUGGGAAUAAAAUGUUCCACGUGUGGGAUUUUGUAUGUACCAUAUGAAUAAGGAUCGGCUAACUCCGUGCCAGCAGCCGCGGUAAUACGGAGGAUCCGAGCGUUAUCCGGAUUUAUUGGGGUUAAAGGGAGCGUAGGUGGAUUGUUAAGUCAGUUGUGAAAGUUUGCGGCUCAACCGUAACAUUGCAGUUGAAACUGGCAGUCUUGAGUACAGUAGAGGUGGGCGGAAUUCGUGGUGUAGCGGUGAAAUGCUUAGAUAUCACGAAGAACUCCGAUUGCGAAGGCAGUUCACUGGACUGCAACUGACACUGAGGCUCGAAAGUGUGGGUAUCAAACAGGAUUAGAUACCCGAGUAGUC
rnacentral:rRNA from 1 species